GGGGUGAGCAAGCGUUGUUCGGAUUUACUGGGCGUAAAGGGCGCGUAGGCGGCCAGUGCAAGUCAGUUGUGAAAUCUCCGAGCUUAACUCGGAAAGGUCAACUGAUACUGCUCGGCUAGAGUGCGGAAGGGGCAACUGGAAUUCUUGGUGUAGCGGUGAAAUGCGUAGAUAUCAAGAGGAACACCUGCGGCGAAGGCGGGUUGCUGGGCCGACACUGACGCUGAGGCGCGAAAGCUAGGGGAGCGAACGGGAUUAGAUACCCCGGUAGUCCUAGCCUUAAACGAUGAAUGCUUGGUGUCUGGGGUUAUAUAGUCCCCGGGUGCCGUCGCUAACGCUUUAAGCAUUCCGCCUGGGGAGUACGGUCGCAAGACUG
rnacentral:rRNA from 1 species